AGUGAACGCUGGCGGUAGGCCUAACACAUGCAAGUCGAACGGCAGCACAGUAAGAGCUUGCUCUUACGGGUGGCGAGUGGCGGACGGGUGAGGAAUACAUCGGAAUCUACUUUUUCGUGGGGGAUAACGUAGGGAAACUUACGCUAAUACCGCAUACGACCUACGGGUGAAAGCAGGGGAUCGUCGGACCUUGCGCGAUUGAAUGAGCCGAUGUCGGAUUAGCUAGUUGGCGGGGUAAAGGCCCACCAAGGCGACGAUCCGUAGCUGGUCUGAGAGGAUGGUCGGCCACACUGGAACUGAGACACGGUCCAGACUCCUACGGGAGGCAGCAGUGGGGAAUAUUGGACAAUGGGCGCAAGCCUGAUCCAGCCAUACCGCGUGGGUGAAGAAGGCCUUCGGGUUGUAAAGACCUUUUGUUGGGAAAGAAAAGCAGCAGGUUAAUACCCCGCUGUUCUGACGGUACCCAAAGAAUAAGCACCGGCUAACUUCGUG
rnacentral:rRNA from 1 species